UACGUAGGGUGCGAGCGUUAAUCGGAAUUACUGGGCGUAAAGUGUGCGCAGCGGCCGCGCAAGUCGAGUGUGAAAGCCCCGAGCUUAACUUGGGAAUUGCGCUCGAAACUACGUGGCUGGAGUGUGGCAGAGGAAGGUGGAAUUCCAGGUGUAGCGGUGAAAUGCGUAGAGAUCUGGAGGAACACCAGUGGCGAAGGCGGCUCACUGGCCCGGUACUGACGCUGAGGUGCGAAAGCGUGGGGAGCAAA
rnacentral:rRNA from 1 species